rnacentral:lncRNA from 1 species
CAUGCCUCUAUCCUUAACCUUCUUGGUUCUCUACUGUUCACACUAUCACAAGUCGCAUAAAAACCCAUAUACUCGAGAAAAAACCCCAACUAGAACCUAAGAAAUACUUUCGAUCUCCGUGCUCUCCUUCCUCGCACUCCUCCAUCUCCUCAUCUCUUUUCCCUUCGUCGGUGGCCUCCCCGCUACCUUUUGCCUCCUCACCGCCUUCGUCGGCCACCGUGAGGCUUCCCUUUGUGCCCCUUC